ACAGUCGGACGGUCUGUCGCCGUUGCCUCAUCGGGGCAAAGGAGGAAAGUCCGGGCAGCACAGAGCACUCCACUUCCUAACAGAAAGCUGCUUGCGAAGGCAGAGUAACGCAGAAGAAAAUAACCGCCCGCAAGGGUAAGGGUGAGAAGGUGGGGUAAGAGCCCACCGGCCGUGCAGCGAUGUACGGGCCGUGUGUCUUGGAGGCUGCAAGUUCAUGUAAACCGGCACUUGAGGGUUGCUCGCCCGAGCCGGAGGGUAGAACGCUUUAGCAAUGUGGUGACAUAUUGCAUAGAUGAAUGACAGACACCCCGCAAGGGGCACAGAACCCGGCUUACAGGCCGACUGUUCAA
rnacentral:RNase_P_RNA from 1 species